UUUAAAAAAACACGAUAAUUUUAGAAUAUUUUAGAUUUUUUUAAAAGGGCGUAUCGUGUUUAACACAAACCGAUGAUAUUCACCCAACAUAGUGAUGAAAUCAACGAUUUAAUGUUAAAUCGAUUCGUUGCCUUAUUUAUUGAAAUUAUUCGAAUUUAAAAAAAAUAAAAUAAAAAAGAACAUAAAUACAAAAUAAAAAUACUUAAAAAUGUGCAACAAAUAUUAAAAAAUGAAACAACAUUUAUAUAUUUAGACAAAAUUAAGAAAUCAAGAAUUUACCAAACCCAAUGUUAUGGGCUGUUUGGGCCUUUCUUUUUUUUGCUGUUGGGCUGCUGCUUAUUGGGCUGCCAAUGGACUGGGCCGAUGUUGCUGCUGGUUUGGGCUGCGCUGGGGCUAGCGGGUUUGGGCUGAUGUUGGGCCUGUUAAAAAGGCCUGCUAUUAAUUUCUGCUGCUUCUUUUUUUUUACUUUAUUUUUUUGGGGUUUUGCUUUUUUUUUUCGGGCCUAGGGCUGCUGGUGCGGGUCUGUUGUGGAUCGGGUCAGGUCGGCUUCCAGGUCGGGUCGGUUUGACCGGACUAUUAGUUUUUUUUGCUCCUUUUUUUUCUUCCUUCUUCUUUCUUUUUUCUCUUUUUCUUUCUUUCUUUCUUUCCCGUUCAGCCCCCUUUCAUUGCUUUCGCCGACGACGCCUUGCUGCCUGGCGGUGUGACGGCCACGGUGGUGGCAGUGGAGCAAUCAUGGCCUAGGGAGGCUGCUGGAGCUGGCCUGCUGGUUGCGACGAUUUGACAAGUCCAAAAGGACCAAACUGCAGAAGGUGCGAAAUUUCUGGGGUAAAAGUGCAAUUUUAGGAAAAUAUGGGGCCAAAAAGUAAUUUUUAGAAAGUUUAGGGGCCCAAAUGUAAUUUACAAAUUAUUAGGGGUUAAGAUGUAAAUUUUUAAAAAAUAGGGGUCAAAAUGUAAUUUUUAAACAGUUCGGGGGCUAAAAUGUAAUUUGUUUUCGUUUUU